GAGCUUGCUCUGGCGGAUCAGUGGCGAACGGGUGAGUAACACGUGAGUAACCUGCCCCCGACUCUGGGAUAACUGCUAGAAAUGGUAGCUAAUACCGGAUAUGACGAUUGGCCGCAUGGUCUGGUCGUGGAAAGAAUUUCGGUUGGGGAUGGACUCGCGGCCUAUCAGGUUGUUGGUGAGGUAAUGGCUCACCAAGCCUACGACGGGUAGCCGGCCUGAGAGGGUGACCGGCCACACUGGGACUGAGACACGGCCCAGACUCCUACGGGAGGCAGCAGUGGGGAAUAUUGCACAAUGGGCGAAAGCCUGAUGCAGCAACGCCGCGUGAGGGAUGACGGCCUUCGGGUUGUAAACCUCUUUUAGUAGGGAAGAAGCGAAAGUGACGGUACCUGCAGAAAAAGCACCGGCUAACUACGUGCCAGCAGCCGCGGUAAUACGUAGGGUGCAAGCGUUGUCCGGAAUUAUUGGGCGUAAAGAGCUCGUAGGCGGUUUGUCGCGUCUGCUGUGAAAUCCCGAGGCUCAACCUCGGGUCUGCAGUGGGUACGGGCAGACUAGAGUGCGGUAGGGGAGAUUGGAAUUCCUGGUGUAGCGGUGGAAUGCGCAGAUAUCAGGAGGAACACCGAUGGCGAAGGCAGAUCUCUGGGCCGUAACUGACGCUGAGGAGCGAAAGCAUGGGGAGCGAACAGGAUUAGAUACCCUGGUAGUCCAUGCCGUAAACGUUGGGAACUAGAUGUGGGGACCAUUCCACGGUCUCCGUGUCGCAGCUAACGCAUUAAGUUCCCCGCCUGGGGAGUACGGCCGCAAGGCUAAAACUCAAAGGAAUUGACGGGGGCCCGCACAAGCGGCGGAGCAUGCGGAUUAAUUCGAUGCAACGCGAAGAACCUUACCAAGGCUUGACAUAUACCGGAAACAUGCAGAAAUGUGUGCCCCGCAAGGUCGGUAUACAGGUGGUGCAUGGUUGUCGUCAGCUCGUGUCGUGAGAUGUUGGGUUAAGUCCCGCAACGAGCGCAACCCUCGUUCUAUGUUGCCAGCACGUAAUGGUGGGAACUCAUAGGAGACUGCCGGGGUCAACUCGGAGGAAGGUGGGGAUGACGUCAAAUCAUCAUGCCCCUUAUGUCUUGGGCUUCACGCAUGCUACAAUGGCCGGUACAAAGGGCUGCGAUACCGUAAGGUGGAGCGAAUCCCAAAAAGCCGGUCUCAGUUCGGAUUGAGGUCUGCAACUCGACCUCAUGAAGUCGGAGUCGCUAGUAAUCGCAGAUCAGCAACGCUGCGGUGAAUACGUUCCCGGGCCUUGUACACACCGCCCGUCAAGUCAUGAAAGUCGGUAACACCCGAAGCCAGUGGCCUAACCGCAA
rnacentral:rRNA from 1 species